CGAAUCAAGAAGUUAAAAGUCCAAAUAAAUUAAAGACAUUGAAGACCCAAACUUUUGAAAGGUUUUCUUGUAAUAUGUAGCUUCUAAAAUAUCUGGAGGUAUAAAACCUUACUAUUUCAAACAAUUCAAAGUUUUGUAAACAGUUAAUUUAUAAAUAAAUGUAUGAUAGUAUCAAAGAUAAUUCAUGUCAACACAGACUAUAAGGCUGCUUUAACCACCACCAUCAGUGCAAUCGACACAGUGGUUAAAAAAAUCAUCAAAGAUACCAGGCUUGUAAUUUUGAACGCCAGCCACGUGUUUGGUCUACGACAUACUCAGUGACGCUUGAAACAAAAAUAGAUAUUUAUGCAUUGGGCUUCUCAAACACGUUGUCGCAAUCAAACAAGUAAAAUAACAAAAAAUACAAAAAUCCAAAAUCGAAAAUCUACGUAAGAUGUGCAGUAAAAUCGAUAUCAUGGUUAUGAAAUAGGGUGAUGUGGUAGGAACAUUCAAACUAAAAAACAAAAAAAAAAAGACUGACAACGUCAUUGCAAAAAAAGAAAAAGACCAAAAAGAAAAACAACUAUAUACAACACGCAACAUAGAAAACCAAAGAUUUAUUGAUAGAAAAAUUAGCUUUCAUACAACUUUAUCUAAAACUAUCCCUGACAGUAGAAAAGAAGAAUCAAGAUUACUUUUAUUUUCAAAUGACAAGUAUUAAUUACUGUCAUUUUUUGGUUGACACGAAAAUGAAGUUCUUUUGAUUACUCAAAACCUGUGGUGC
rnacentral:lncRNA from 1 species